AUUGAACGCUGGCGGCAUGCUUUACACAUGCAAGUUGAACGGUAACAGGCCGCAAGGUGCUGACGAGUGGCGAACGGGUGAGUAAUGCAUCGGAACGUGCCCAGUCGUGGGGGAUAACUACUCGCAAGAGUAGCUAAUACCGCAUACGAUCUAUGGAUGAAAGCGGGGGACCGUAAUGCCUCGCGCGAUUGGUGCGGCCGAUGUCAGAUUAGGUAGUUGGUGGGGUAAAGGCUCACCAAGGCAACGAUCUGUAGCUGGUCUGAGAGGACGACCAGCCACACUGGGACUGAGACACGGCCCAGACUCCUACGGGAGGCAGCAGUGGGGAAUUUUGGACAAUGGGCGCAAGCCUGAUCCAGCAAUGCCGCGUGCAGGAAGAAGGCCUUCGGGUUGUAAACUGCUUUUGUACGGAACGAAACGGCUCUGGUUAAUACCCGGGGCUAAUGACGGUACCGUAAGAAUAAGCACCGGCUAACUACGUG
rnacentral:rRNA from 1 species